UCGAACGUAGUGCACGGUGCACGUCUGCAGAAAUUACUUCGUUCGAGAUCGCGUCGGUAGGAGGACCGGGUUCGACUCCCGGCGUUCGAA